rfam:Loxodonta africana unplaced genomic scaffold scaffold_44, whole genome shotgun sequence.
GCAUUGGUGGUUCAGUGGUAGAAUUCUUGCCUUCCAUGUUGGAGACCUGGGUUCAAUUCCUAGCCAAUGCA